UAUUACUUUGUGUCUCUUAGUCAAUCUGAUCUGGUCCAUGUUCGUGGGGAGGGCAUCAUGGGCAUGUCCACACCAAUGUCCACACCCUGUCCACCCCAUAUCCCUCCCCCCGCACUCGCCCAUGCUGUCGCACAGACCAAAGCAGGCACUCCCGCACCCACUCCCUCAUAUCGAGGGGCACCAUCCAGCACCCCUCCCCCACUAAUGAUCCUUCCGCAGGUUCACCUACGGAAA
rnacentral:misc_RNA from 1 species